CCUUCCGUGGGUGAGCUAUUUGAGCCAACAUCUAUUGUUGCGUCGGCCUUCUGCCGUUUGUUAAUUUUGGCCUGAGGGCUUUAACUUUUAAGAUUUUGGUAUGUACCAAAUUAGGGUAGAGCGCUUAUUUUUCUCGUUUUAAGAUCUUUUGUGAGUCUCUGUUUCCUAACUCCUUUCCCGCCUCUUUCAAAUUUGCUCUAGUGAUCAACGCCACCUAUGAUCCGGAGUUGGUAUUAAUUUCACGUGGUGACCUUUGUGUUGUCCUGUUUUCCCCCAGAGACGGUGGCGCCUUGUACUUCAUCGAUCGUUCUCGCCGAAUAUCGAUCACAAAAAUGGUCGUAGCGUUUUGGCGUCGUUGUUAAGGUUUCUUGUGUUCUUCGUCGUCGCUUUUGAGUAACAACUGCCGUUUGGUAGAUAAGUUAUGUUUUUAUAUGGGGUUUCAUUAACAUCAACGUUCUUUAGACGUUCUUAGCCUCUCAAUGUAAGUAGCGAUUGCUCGUGUGAGCCUUUCGUCCCCUUUUGGUUUAUUUUUGACCGUUUUGUUCCGUUUAUUGUUUGUAGUACUCCCUGAUGAUGAUUGAAAUUACAAUCGAAAGCUUGGAUUGAUUAAAGGAGGUUUUUUAAUUUCCCCCAAAAUUGGUUGCAGUCCCAAUAUCUUCACUUGAUUACAGGCAAUAACACAAAUUUUAGUACGGAGCCAAAUACUGGGAUCAUCAACCGUGGGAUAGAGGUUAUAAGUCGCAAAAAUACAAAAACCAAUAAGUCAAACAGGUGGCCAGACAGUAAACGGCCCAAAAAACCGCCGCAAAACCAAAAAUCCAGCACGAUGGCAUAGGAACAAUCAAAUUCGAGAACAAAACCACAACACCAAGAACAACAGGUGACAUUCAUGACAAUUAACAGCCGAGAGCCAUACUAACCCAACAGAAGCGGAAAAAAGGCAAUUCCCCAACCACAAGGCGGGAAACUUGAAUACCAACCAAGGUCAAAACCAAACCUCCCCGAAAGACGAAUCGUCGAGAGGUGGGGGACGAGCAACAUGUAACUUAACCAAAUUGCAAUAAAUGUCGCUAACAUUUUGCACAUCAGUGCGAAAAUUUACAGAAUUAGGCUCACUCAGGAUGUGGAACAUCUUAAGAAAACGCCGUUUAUAGUAUGAGGGUUUAAAACAUACUAUGGAGGAGUUGUCGAAAUCGAAGGUAUGUCCCGUGGUAAGAUGGUGUUCCACAAGGGCCGUGGCAUUCAACUUUUUUAAUCUGCAGUCUCUACGGUGUUGGUCGAGUCUCCUCUUAAGAUAUUGGCUGGUCAUACCCACGUAGGAGCCGGAACAACCCUGACAGUUGAUCUUACACAUCAAGUUGGUUUUCAGACCAUCGGGUCGAUCUUUCAAGCUGGUAAAAAUGCCACGUAGAGGUUUGGUGGUAUAUUUAGCGAACUGUAAAGUUCCGUCAUUGAAAACCUUCACCAGAUUAUCGAACAAAUUUUAGUGUUAUUUAACCCUUUCGCGACUUUUAACUUAGUGGUGCAUAUGUGUACCAGGAGUCGCGAAAGGGUUAAGACAGAAAAAGACAUAAAUAAAAAUUGAAACUAAUUGAACAUAGUCACACACGUUCAUAUAAACCCAUUCAUAGUUAACUUAUUGCGGCUGAACCAAUUUUCCACAAUUCACACAUUAGUACACGUUUUAUGGAUCAUUUCAUUAAGUGUUGAACUAGUAAUUACAAGGCUGGUGUCAUCAGCAUAAUUCGUUUUGUGACAAUUCAGGCCGAAGAGUAGAAGGUCAUUUAUAAAGAUAACGAACAAAAGCGGUCCCAGUAUACUACCCUGUGAGAUACCGUAGAGUGUAGUUUUAUUAGUAGAAAUUACAGUCUUACUUUUUAAGCUUAUGACUUUAGUAGAGUGUGACCUAGUAUUUAAAUAAAAUGUUAUAAUAUCGUU